GCCGAUGUAGCUCAACGGUAGAGCAGCUGAUUUGUAAUCAGCGGGUUGGAGGUUCGAUUCCUCUCAUCGGCUCCA
rnacentral:tRNA from 1 species